AUGAUUUCGAGAAAAGCGAUGCAAUAAAAGAAAACAACAUGCAUCAUUAGUUUCCUACACGUAUCCCCAUCUCACCACUUGGUACGACUUAGAAUAAAAGCAUAAAAACAAACACAGUGAAAAAAGAUAACCUCACCUCAUUCGUUCACUCCCUCUCUCCCUACCUACACACCUCAACCGAACAAAACUUUCUCCUGCAAACUGAAAUCCAUUCAUCUUCUUCCAACAAAACAAAACCAAAGCCCAAUUUAAACAAAAAAAACGAACCACCUAAAAUUCCAGAACCAAAGAUGAAUACCUCAUGGUGUUCAUCAUCAAAAUCUCAGUAGAUCCGAGCAAACCGAUUUCCUAUUUCAACAAAAAGAAACAAAACCCACAACAAAACAAAAAACAUAACCAACUCAAACCAAAAAUAGCAAAGCUUCUUACAAAUCUACAAUAGUCCAGACUUAACUCAAACAAUCAUGAAUAAGUAACGAAUCAUCAAAUCACACAUGCAAUCGGCGACUACAUGGAGCUGUAAUGCCUUGGAAAGGUUGAAUAAAGGGGUGAAGGAUGACGCCGGAGUUUUGCGACUCCGACGAUACUCCGACGAAUUUUACCUCAAGUAUGGUGCUCACUAAUAGGCUUUCACUGCAGUUACUCUCAGUAAAGUGAUGGUAAUCCAAGGCUUAUGGAUGAUUUUGGUUUUGCGAUGGUGUAUUUUGAUAUUUUGUAUUACCCUUCCCUUUUCCUUUAGAUGUCUAAACGAAACCUUAUGUCUUAUUUAAAAAGUUAAAUGGUAAUAAUUAAGGGAUGAAAAGAACCAUACACGGUCCCUCUUUAUGACUUCAAUUAUCUUCUAGUGUCUUAUAUUCAUAGAGCAAUGUUAAUAUCAACUAGUUUCUGUUAUUCUGGUUUAUUUGUCACAAGUUGCAGUCGGCCAAAACCUUUUGGACGGUUUGGACUUUCAUGUUUCAGAGUUUUGAAAUAAGGCAUUCUUCUUUACACUUAGACCUUCCUUGGGUCAUCUAUGAUAUCUCUUUUUUUUUACACGUCAUGUUUCGUCGUAUUUCGUCUGUUAGGAAAUGAGCGCGUAAUGGUCUGUUGAAAUGGAUGUAGAACUGGGUGCAAAGGGGAGCAAGUUUGAGUUUUGACAUGAUUGUUAUGUAAUUUAUCUUGUAGUAAUGAAUUUGAAACAA